UGGUUCAGUAAGGCUUCAGUAAUGUUUCUGUCAUGCUUCAGUAAUGUUUCUGUCAUGCUUCUGUAAUGCUUCAGUAAAGCUUCAGUAAUGUUUCAGUAAGGUUUCAGUAAUGUUUCAGUAAAGCUUCAGUAAUGUUUCAGUAAAGCUUCAGUAAAGCUUCAGUAAUGUUUCAGUAAAGCUUCAGUAAUGUUUCAGUAAAGCUUCAGUAAUGUUUCAGUAAAGCUUCAGUAAUGUUUCAGUAAUGCUUCAGUAAAGCUUCAGUAAUGUUUCAGUAAAGCUUCAGUAAUGUUUCAGUAAAGCUUCAGUAAUGUUUCAGUAAGGCUUCAGUAAUGUUUCAGUAAAGCUUCAGUAAUGCUUCAGUAAUGCUUCAGUAAUGUUUCUGUCAUGCUUCAGUAAUGCUUCAGUAAUGUUUCAGUAAUGUUUCUGUCAUGCUUCAGUAAUGCUUCAGUAAUGUUUCUGUCAUGCUUCAGUAAAGCUUCAGUAAUGCUUCAGUAAUGCUUCAGUAAUGUUUCAGUAAUGCUUCAGUAAUGCUUCAGUAAUAUUUCAGUAAUGCUUCAGUAAAGGUCACACUGUUCUAUAGCUUCAGGUCUGCUGCAUUUGUAAUGAAGGUGGCUUGGUUAAUGGAGGAUAAAGUGCCCCAGUCCUUCGUUUCAACGACCCUAUGAUGACUCACACCUUCCUCCCUGAAGGUCAUCGAGAAGACGGGCUUCCCCAAGAAGCUCACCAGGAAACCAGAGGACUUCAUACUGUGCAGGUAGGUACAACGAGAGCGCGACCGGUUAACCCGACAAAAUGGAAUCACAGAUAUCACAGAUACAUGGCAUUGGUGAAAUAUGAAUUAUUAUUGUAUGCAUAGCCGGUCUAUUCAAAUACGAUCUCUUUCCCUGGGUGGUUGAACAUCUUCAACUGGGUGGGUACUGAAAGAAAAGACCUUUACAUCUGCUCUGAGACUGGUCCAAAUGGUACUCUAUUCCAAAUGAAUAAAGACAUUACAAAUGUCAUAUUAUGUCUAUAUACAGUGUUGUAAUGAUGUGCAAAUAGUUAACAGUACAAAAGGUGGGGACAUAAAUAUGGGUUGUAUUUACUAUGGUGUUUGUUCUUCACUGGUUGACCUUUUCUCGUGGCAACAGGUCACACGUCUUGCUGCUGUGAUGGCACACUGUGGUAUUUCACCCAGUAGAUAUGGGAGUUUUUCAUUGUUUAAAAAAAUAUUUUGUGGAUCUGUGUAAUCUGAGGGAAAUAUGUGUCUCUAAUAUGGUCAUCUAUUUGGUUGGAGGUUAGGAAGUGCGGCUGAGGGUAAUAUAUGUGUCUCUAAUAUGGUCAUACACUGUCUGGCAGAACGUUAAACUGCUGUUGUCAAUCAUUAUUUCUCCCUUUGUGACCUUAACACUGAGAUUUCCACAUUAUUCUGCUCAUGGUCCCAAAUUGAUGUCAGGAAAUUCUGGUGAAUCAAUUUGGAAAGUAAUGUAGUCUAGUGGUUUUUCAUAUUGAAUAACAGGUGAUGUUAACUGUGGUAUAUUAUGACAAUCAGUCUGUGUUGAUAGACUGUGAACUGUGGUAUAUUAUGACAAUCAGUCAGACUUCUUUUCUUUCAACAUGUCACUGAGUUGAGAAUGGUGAUAUCACACCGUCUCUUUCAGACAUUGUCCGGUUAGAUGCCCCAGAUAUUGUGUGGCCUACCACUUCGCAGCUGAGCCUCGUUUAAGAAACAGACGCCUCACAAGUCCUCAACUGGCAGCUUCAUUAAAUAGUACCUUCAAAACACCAGUCUCAACGUCAACAGUGAAGAGGCGACUCCGAGAUGCUGGCCUUCUAGGCAGAGUUCCUCUGUCCAGUGUCUGUGUUCUUUUGCCCAUCUUAAUCUUUUCUUUUCAUUGGCCAGUCUGAGAUAUGGCUUUUUCUUUGCAACUCUGCCUAGAAAGGCCAACAUCCCAGAGUCUCCUCUUCAACGUUGACAUUGAGACUUGUGUUUUGCGGGUCCCUUUUUCAGGACCCUGUCUUUCAAAGAUAAUUUGUAAAAAACUUUACAGAUCUUCAUUGUAAAGGGUUUAAACACGGUUUCCCAUGCUUGUUCAAUGAAUCAUAAACAAUUGAUGAACAUGCACCUGUGGAACGGUCGUUAAGACACUAACAGCUUUCAGAUGGUAGGCAAUUAAGGUCAGUUAUAAAAACUUAGGACGCUAAAGAGGCCUUUCUACUGACUCUGAAAAACACCAAAAGAAAGAUGCCCAGGAUCCCUGCUCAUCUGCUUGAAUAUGCCUUAGGCAUGCUGCAAGGAGGCAUGAGGACUGCAGAUGUGGCCAGGGCAAUAAAUUGCAAUGUCCGUUCUGUGAGACGCCUAAGACAUCGCUACAGGGAGACAGGACGGCAGCUGAUCAUCCUCGCAGUGGCAGACCACGUGUAACAACACCUGCACAGGAUCGGUACAUCCGAACAUCACACCUGCGGGACACUGAGUUAUACCAGGAACACACAAUCCCUCCAUCAGUGCUCAGACUGUCCGCAAUAGGCUGAGAGAGGCUGGACUGAGGGCUUGUAGGCCUGUUGUAAGGCAUCACCGGCUACAACGUCGCCUAUGGGCACAAACCCACCAUCGCUGGACCAGACAGGAAAGUGCUCUUCACUGACGAGUCAUGGUUUUGUCUCACCAGGCGUGAUGGUCGGAUUCGCGUUUAUUGUCAAAGGACUGAUCGUUACACCAAGGUCUGUACUCUGGAGCGAGAUCGAUUUGGAGGUGGAGGGUCUGUCAUGGUCUGGGGGGGUGUAUCACAGCAUCAUCGUACUGAGCUUGUUGUCAUUGCAGGCAAUCUCAACGCUGUGCGUUACAGGGAAGACAUCCUCCUCCCUCAUGUGGUUCCCUUUUAUUUAUUUUACAUUUUAUUUCACCUUUAUUUAACCAGGUAGGCCAGUUGAGAACAAGUUUUCAUUUAUAACUGCGACCUGGCCAAGAUAAAGCAAAGCAGUGCGACAAAAACAACAACACAGAGUUACACAUAAACAAACGUACAGUCAAUAACACAACCCUUCCUGCAGGCUCAUCCUGACGUGACCCUCCAGCAUGACAAUGCCACCAGCCAUACUGCUUGUUCUGUGCGUGACUUCCUGCAAGGCAGGAAUGUCAGUGUUCUGCCAUGGCCAGCAAAGAGUCCGGAUCUCAUUCCCAUUGAGCGCGUCAGGGACCUGUUGGAUCGGAGGGUGAGGGCUAGGGCCAUUCCCCAGAGAAAUGUCUGGGAACUUGCAGGUGCCUUGGUGGAAGAGUGGGGUAACAUCACAUAGCAAGAACUGGCAAAUCUGGUGCAGUCCAUGAGGAGGAGAUGCACUGUAGUACUUAAUGCAGCUGGUGGCCACACCAGAUACUGACUGUUACUUUUGUUUUUGACCCCCCCUUUGUUCAGGGACACAUUAUUCCAUUUCUGUUGGUCACAUGUCUGUGGAACGUGUUCAGUUUAUGUCUCAGUUGUUGAAUCUUAUGUUCAUAGAAAUAUUUACACAUGUUAAGUUUGCUGAAAAUAAACGCAGUUGACAGUGAGAGGAGCUUUCCUUUUUUCUGAGUUUAUUUAAUGAAGCUGCCAGUUGAGGACUUGUGAAGCGUCUGUUUCUCAGACUAGACACUCUAAUGUACUUGUCCUCUUGCUCAGUUGUGCACCGGGGCCCCCCACUCUCCUUUUUAUUCUGGUUAGAGCCAGUUUGCACUGUUCUGUGAAGGGAGUAGUACACUGCGUUGUAUGAGACCUCCAGUUUCUUGGCAAUUUCUCGCAUGGAAUAGCCUUAAUUUCUCAGAACAAGAAUAGACUGAUGAGUUUCAGAAGAAAGGUCUUUGUUUCUGGCCAUUUUGAGCCUGUAAUCGAACCCACAAAUGCUGAUGCUCCAGAUACUCAACUAGUCUAAAGAAGGAUAGUUGUAUUGCUUCUUUAAUCAGAACAACAGUUUUCAGCUGUGCUAACAUAAUUGUGAAAGGGUUUUCUAAUGAUCAAUUAGCCUUUUAAAACGAUAAACUUGGAUUAGCUAACACAAUGUGCCAUUGGAACACAUCAGUGAUGGUUGCUGAUAAUGGGCCUCUGUAUGCCCAUGUAGAUAUUCCAUAAAGAAUCAGCCGUUUCCAGCUACAAUAGUCAUUUACAACAUUAACAAUGUCUACACUGUAUUUCUGUUCAAUUUGAUGUUAUUUUAAUGGACAAACAAAUGUGCUUUUCUUUAAAAAAAACAAGGACAUUUCUCAGUGACCAAAGCUUUUGAACAAUAGUGUACCUGCACCAUAUGACUUGUAAGUAAGCCCUCCAUUCAGAUACACGCAUCACUACAAUGUGGAACUGCAUUGGCACUAAGGUGAAGAACCAAAUAUUGGAGAAUGUCAAACAAGCAGUACAGAAUAGUUGGCAUAUAAACAAAAACAAUAUAUUGUUUACAAUAAAAGUACUGUUUACUGAACACAUCCAAAUAUUGAAUAAUCUGCAAAACAUUAUUAGAAUUGUUUAUUUUAUUUGCAACCAUAAUUAUUAUCAAAAGAAUAUAGUCUAAAUUCACUCAUUGAAAACUUUAUUUUGUACUACUUAUAAAAAAUACCCAGUUUUACAAAAGUAAAUCUAUGCUUACUAGUUGGAGAGAGUCCAUCUCAUAACAGUCAUCAGCUUUAUUCAGUCUUUUCAGUUGUUUUGUGAUUCUAUAGUUCCAUAGAAUGUUCUAGAUUGUUCAAACAGUGAUUCUGAAUUCCAUUUCAGCUGAUCAGGAGCUGAAUUUUUAAUCCAUUCAAAAAAAGCAUGUGGUCCCUUCUCCAAGAGACAGCAUUAGAAUAUCAUUGACAUAGUGCCUUUAUGUACAAAAACAAUGUACAAAUCUAUAUAAAACAAUCUAACGUUAGCCUCUACAUCUCACUAUAUCUGUUGUAAAUAAAUAUUUGGUUGUCUGACUUCAUAAUGUAGGAAAUAGUUGAAUCCACGGUAAAGGCAUGUUAGGUGUUCUUUGACUCUAUCUAGCUACCAGAGAGACAUGCACCUAUGCUGGUGUUUGGAAAGGCCUCACUAGUUGAGUAACCCAAAUGGUACCCUAUUCCCUAUGUAGUGCACUACUUUGGCCAGGGCCCUAUUCCCUAUAUAGUGCACUACUUUAGACCAGAACCCUAUUCCCUAUGUAGUGCACUACUUUAGGCCAGGGCCCUAUUCCCUAUAUAGUACACUACUAUAGACCAGGGCUCGAGCUCUGCUCAAAAGUAAUGCAGUAUAUAUGAAAUAGGGGGCCAUUUUUAGUGGCUCUCAGUGACUUGUGAUGUAAAUACCAGCACAUGCCUAUAAUAGACAAUACCAACGUCUAGUCAGAUGGAUAGCUACCAAGCCUUCAUUGGUUGUCUGUGAUGAGACAGAGGUACAGUGGGAGGAGCCUCUUACAUAUCCUGCCUUGUGAUGUAAAAACACUAUGCUUGGUCACCAUAGACUAUGGUUGUGUCACAAAUGUCAUCAUAUUCCCUUUAUAGUGCACUACAUUUGGCUAGGGCCCAUAGGGCUGUGGUCCAAAGUAGUGCACUACAUUUGGCUAGGGCCCAUAGGAUUGUGGUCCAAAGUAGUGCACUACAUUUGGCUAGGGUCCAUAGGACUGUGGUCCAAAGUAGUGCACUACAUUAGGGAUAGGGCACCAUCUGGGACACAGCUUGUAUAUAAUGUCUGUCAGGCUAGGAGGUGAAGGUGAUCCCAUGAUGUAGUAAUCCUCCUCUCAGAGCCAUCCUCCCCUCCUCUCAGAUCGAGACAGGUCCUCCUCUCAGAGCCAUCCUCCCCUCCUCUCAGAUCGAGACAGGUCCUCCUCUCAGAUCGAGACAGGUCCUCCUCUCAGAUCGUGGCAGGUCCUCCUCUCAGAUCGAGACAGGUCCUCCUCUCAGAUCGUGACAGGUCCUCCUCUCAGAUCGAGACAGAUCCUCCUCUCAGAUAGUGACAGGUCCUCCUCUCAGAUCGUGACAGGUCCUCCUCUCAGAUCGUGACAGGUCCUCCUCUCAGAUCGUGACAGGUCCUCCUCUCAGAUCGUGGGUGCUGUUACACUUGGCGGAUGCAGAAGUAGCAACACAAAUUCAACUACAACACUUAAAUGCAAGAUAUCCACAGGAAAAAAAAACUAGGCUAUAGCCUUAGAAGCAAAUUGCUCAAAUUGCUUGUUUUUUGUUCGUGAUGUUGACCAUUCCUUUCCAAGCCCUGAAUGUAUGAAAUAUAGCUUACUUUCUUUUUUCAACAUUAAAAGAAAGUCCAUCAAUAUGUAUAUUUUAUGGAUCAACAAUCUCAAAUAAACAGAUGUAUGUUAUGCACCUCUACAUCACAACAUCUGGCUUUGGAAUAAAAUCUCUCUCUAUAGCAGCCAAGGCAAUAUGUAUAUAUGUAUACAUGAUGUUCAUAUACAAUAAGUAACAAGAAAAUAGUUAAGGACAUAGACACUGUAACAUAUAGCCAUGUCGUACAGAGAGGAGAGGAGGAAGAGGAGGAAGAGGAAGGUGAAGGAGGAGAGGAGGAGGAGGAGGAUGAGAGGGGGACGUGAAGGUGGGAGGAGGAGGAGGAGAGGGGGAUGUGAAGGUGGGAGGAGGAGGAAGAGGGGGACGUGAAGGUGGGAGGAGGAGGUUCUUAGGUAAUGGUAUAAAACUAUUCAGAACUGGGGUGGAAGGAGUUAGGAUAUAGCAUGUGUCUGACCUCCUCAGUAAGAGGAAAAGUUUCUGCUCAACCCAGUAGAGGCAGUAGUCUACUGAGGUCCUGUGUUAGUCCCACUGAGGCAGUAGUUUACUGAGGUCCUGUGUUAGUUCCACUGAGGCAGUAGUCUACUGAGGUCCUCUGUUAGUUCCACUGAGGCAGUAGUCUACUGAGGUCCUGUGUUAGUCCCACUGAGGCAGUAGUCUACUGAGGUCCUGUGUUAGUCCCACUGAGUCAGUAGUCUACUGAGGUCCUCUGUUAGUCCCACUGAGGCAGUAGUCUACUGAGGUCCUGUGUUAGUUCCACUGAGGCAGUAGUCUACUGAGGUCCUGUGUUAGUUCCACUGAGGCAGUAGUCUACUGAGGUCCUCUGUUAGUUCCACUGAGGCAGUAGUCUACUGAGGUCCUGUGUUAGUCCCACUGAGGCAGUAGUCUACUGAGGUCCUGUGUUAGUCCCACAGAGGCAGUAGUCUACUGAGGUCCUGUGUUAGUCCCACAGAGGCAGUAGUCUACUGAGGUCCUGUGUUAGUCCCACAGAGGCAGUAGUCUACUGAGGUCCUGUGUUAGUCCCACAGAGGCAGUAGUCUACUGAGGUCCUGUGUUAGUCCCACUGAGGCAGUAGUCUACUGAGGUCCUCUGUUAGUUCCACAGAGGCAGUAGUCUACUGAGGUCCUGUGUUAGUUCCACCGAGGCAGUAGUCUACUGAGGUCCUGUGUUAGUCCCACUGAGGCAGUAGUCUACUGAGGUCCUGUGUUAGUCCCACUGAGGCAGUAGUCUACUGAGGUCCUGUGUUAGUCCCACUGAGUCAGUAGUCUACUGAGGUCCUGUGUUAGUCCCACUGAGGCAGUAGUCUACUGAGUGUUAGUCCCACUGAGGCAGUAGUCUACUGAGGUCCUGUGUUAGUCCCACGGAGGCAGUAGUCUACUGAGGUCCUGUGUUAGUCCCACUGAGGCAGUAGUCUACUGAGGUCCUGUGUUAGUCCCACUGAGGCAGUAGUCUACUGAGGUCCUCUGUUAGUCCCACUGAGGCAGUAGUCUACUGAAGUCCUCUGUUAGUUCCACUGAGGCAGUAGUCUACUGAAGUCCUGUGUUAGUUCCACUGAGGCAGUAGUCUACUGAGGUCCUCUGUUAGUCCCACUGAGGCAGUAGUCUACUGAGGUCCUCUGUUAGUCCAGAUCUGUCAAGAAACCCAUCCGGAGUUCCUAAGUCUUUCAAUAAGUUGUUUUGUCCCUCUUUAAGUUACUAGCUCAAUCUGCAAUAGGUCCUGUUUUAUUGUGUUCAAACAGGCAAGAAACCCUGAUGAUGAGGUUGGUGAUGGUGAUGAUGAUGAUGAAGAUGAGACUAGUGAGUUGUUUAUUCUCCAGGGUGCUUCAGCAUUCUCCAGAGUGCUUCAGUAUUCUCCAGAGUGCUUCAGCAUUCUCCAGGGUGCUUCAGUAUUCUCCAGAGUGCUUCAGUAUUCUCCAGAGUGCUUCAGCAUUCUCCAGGGUGCUUCAGUAUUCUCCAGCGUGCUUCAGCAUUCUCCAGGGUGCUUCAGUAUUCUCCAGAGUGCUUCAGCAUUCUCCAGAGUGCUUCAGCAUUAUCCAUGGUGCUUCAGUAUUCUCCAGCGUGCUUCAGCAUUCUCCAGGGUGCUUCAGUAUUCUCCAGAGUGCUUCAGUAUUCUACAGGGUGCUUCAAUAUUCUCCAGAGUGCUUCAGCGUUCUCCAGGGUGCUUCAAUAUUCUCCAGAGUGCUUCAGCGUUCUCCAGGGUGCUUCAGCAUUCUCCAGAGUGCUUCACUAUUCUCCAUAGUGCUUCACUAUUCUCCAGAGUGCUUCACUAUUCUCCAGAGUGCUUCAGCAUUCUACAGGAUGCUUCACUAUUCUCCAGAGUGCUUCACUAUUCUCCAGAGUGCUUCAGCAUUCUCCAGGGUUCUUCAGUAUCCUACAGGGUUCUUCAGUAUCCUACAGAGUGCUUCAGUAUUCUACAGAGUGCUUCAGCAUUCUCCAGGGCGCUUCAGCAUUCUCCAUAGUGCUUCAGCAUUCUCCAGAGUGCUUCAGCGUUCUCCAGGGUGCUUCAGCAUUCUCCAUAGUACUUCAGCAUUCUCCAGGGUGCUUCAGUAUUCUACAGGGUGCUUCAAUAUUCUCCAGAGUGCUUCAGUAUUCUCCAGGGUGCUUCAGUAUUCUCCAGGGUGCUUCAGCAUUCUCCAGGGUUCUUCAGCAUUCUCCAGAGUGCUUCAGCAUUCUCCAGAGUGCUUCAGUAUUCUACAGGGUGCUUCAGUAUUCUACAAGGUGCUUCAGUAUUCUACAGAGUGCUUCAGGCUUCCAAUAGGAGGUCCAACAGUCCUUUCCUGAAAAGGUUAAUCAACCAACCAUCUCAUCUCCAUGUAGAUAGGUGACAGUAAUCACUAGGUGGCUUUGCUGCAGAAAGGUUAUUCUGUGUGUGUGUGUGCUUGUGUCUGCGUGUGUCUGUGGGUGAAGGCUGAAGAAAUGUUGCUUGGCCUCUACGACCCUCCCGAACUUCUACAGACGCACCACUGAGAGUAUCCUGUGAGGCUGAAUCACCGCCUGUUAUGACAACUGCACCGCCCGCAGCCACUUGAGCCACGUCCUGUUCACCCCGCUACCAUCUAGAAGGUAAUUAAGGACCUCAGCCACCAGAGCCACGUCCUGUUCACCCUGCUACCAUCUAGAAGGUCAUUAAGGACCUCAGCCACCUGAGCCACGACCUGUUCACCCAGCUACCAUCUAGAAGGUCAUCAAGGACAUCAGCCACCUGAGCCACGUCCUGUUCACCCCGCUACCAUCUAGAAGGUCAUCAAGGACCUUAGCCACCUGAGCCACGACCUGUUCACCCAGCUACCAUCUAGAAGGUCAUCAAGGACCUCGGCCACCUGAGCCACGACCUGUUCACCAAGCUACCAUCCAGAAGGUCAUUAAGGACCUCAGCCACCUGAGCCAUGGCCUGUUCACCCCGCUACCAUCUAGAAGGCGGAGACAGUACAGGUGCAUCAAAGCCGGCCUCCACCCAGUACCCUGCCCUGAACCGUAUUGACUGUUACUAGCCAGCUACGACUCAGUAGCCUGCCCUGAACGUUAGUGACUGUUACUAGCCAGCUACCACUUAGUACCCUGCCCUGAACCUUAGUCACUGUUACUAGUCAGCUACCACUCAGUACCCUGCCCCGAACCAUAGUCAUUGUCACUAGCCAGCUCCCACUCAGUACCCUGGCCUGAACCUUAAUGACUGUUACUAGCCGGACUCCACACAGUACCUUGCCCUGAACCUUAGUGACUGUUACUAGCCAGCUACCAAUCGGUACCCUGCCCUGAACCUUAGUGACUGUUACUAGCCGGCCUCCACCCAGUACCCUGCCCUGAACCUUAGUGACUGUUACUAGCCAGCUACCACUUAGUACCCUGCCCUGAACCUUAGUGACUGUUACUAGCAAGCUACCAAGCAGUACCCUGCCCUGAACCUUAGUGACUGUUACUAGCCAGCUACCACUUAGUACCCUGCCCUGAACCCUAGUCACUGUUACUAGCCAGCUACCACUCAGUACCCUGCCCUGAACCUUAGUGACUGUUACUAGCCGGAC
ensembl:lncRNA